rnacentral:tRNA from 1 species
GCCAGCGUGGCCCAGUUGGUAAGACUGGUAACCAAGGCCGCACACAUUAGAGAUGUGUGAGUUUGAAAUCUCACCGCUGGCA